rnacentral:rRNA from 1 species
AGUGAACGCUGGCGGUAGGCCCAACACAUGCAAGUCGAACGGCAGCACAGUAAGAGCUUGCUCUUACGGGUGGCGAGUGGCGGACGGGUGAGGAAUACAUCGGAAUCUACUUUUUCGUGGGGGAUAACGUAGGGAAACUUACGCUAAUACCGCAUACGACCUACGGGUGAAAGCAGGGGAUCUUCGGACCUUGCGCGAUUGAAUGAGCCGAUGUCGGAUUAGCUAGUUGGCGGGGUAAAGGCCCACCAAGGCGACGAUCCGUAGCUGGUCUGAGAGGAUGAUUAGCCACACUGGAACUGAGACACGGUCCAGACUCCUACGGGAGGCAGCAGUGGGGAAUAUUGGACAAUGGGCGCAAGCCUGAUCCAGCCAUACCGCGUGGGUGAAGAAGGCCUUCGGGUUGUAAAGCCCUUUUGUUGGGAAAGAAAAGCAGCAGGUUAAUACCCCGCUGUCCUGACGGUACCCAAAGAAUAAGCACCGGCUAACUUCGUG